UACGUAGGGGGCUAGCGUUGUCCGGAUUUAUUGGGCGUAAAGAGCGUGUAGGCGGUCUGGCAGGUCUGCUGUGAAAACUCGAGGCUCAACCUCGAGAUGUCGGCGGAAACCAUCUGGCUAGAGUCCGGAAGAGGAGAGUGGAAUUCCUGGUGUAGCGGUGAAAUGCGCAGAUAUCAGGAGGAACACCAAUGGCGAAGGCAGCUCGCUGGGACGGUACUGACGCUGAGGAGCGAAAGCGUGGGGAGCGAACAGG
rnacentral:rRNA from 1 species